UCUGCAUUUCUCUGCACUGGUGUGCUCUA
rnacentral:piRNA from 1 species